CAAAGAACUUCAAUCCAAUGGCCUACAACCGAAAGGAAAAAUUUAUUUACUUGGUGAGUUUGAACAAGAGACACAGAGGAGAAAGAGGCAUUUGAAUCUCAGCAGAUGUUAAAAGUAACAUACAUCUUAAUCAGCAAUCAAAUUUGGCCUAACUUAUUACCUCUCUCUAAGUGAAGACAGAAAAAUUUCAGUUAUGAGAGAGAGAGAGAACCAUAUCACCUCAAUAUGGAUGCCACCUUGAAAGAGAAGUGAUGCCUUUUUUUUUAAAAAAAAAAAGAGAAAAAAAAUUUUCUUCAAUUUCUACCAGAAAGAUUGAAACUUUGAGACCUAUACUAACCCUACAGGAAGUGAAGCACAGUCUGUUGAGAAUGUAAAUGCCAACACAAUCCAUAGACUUUCGCAUCCAUAGAUUUUGGCAUCUGAAUGAGAAAACAAGCAAACCGUAGUUUUGGCAUCAUAUUGAGAACAAAACUUGCAUGCGGAACUUGCUAUGCAGAUGAGUUUCAUCAGCCUUGGGAUAAGAAGUCAAGAAAGCAGACACAGUGGCUAAGAUCGGAGUAAGGCAAAUGGUGGUAGCAGUGGAUGGAUGGCAUCUGAAUGAGAAAAUAAGAAAACUGUAGUUUUGGCAUCAUAUUGAGAACA
rnacentral:misc_RNA from 1 species